UGUCCGGAUUUACUGGGUGUAAAGGGUGCGUAGGCGGCUUUGCAAGUCAGAUGUGAAAUCUAUGGGCUCAACCCAUAAACUGCAUUUGAAACUGUAGAGCUUGAGUGAAGUAGAGGCAGGCGGAAUUCCCCGUGUAGCGGUGAAAUGCGUAGAGAUGGGGAGGAACACCAGUGGCGAAGGCGGCCUGCUGGGCUUUAACUGACGCUGAGGCACGAAAGCGUGGGUAGCAACCAGGAUUAGAUACCCUGGUAGUCCACGCUGUAAACGAUGAUUACUAGGUGU
rnacentral:rRNA from 1 species